rnacentral:tRNA from 1 species
AGUAAAGUCAGCUAACACAAGCUUUUGGGUCCAUACCCCAAAUAUGACGGUUAAACCCCUUCCUUUACUA